UACGUAGGGUGCAAUCGUUGCUCGGAAUCAUUGGGCGUAAAGCGCACGUAGGCGGCCCCGCAAGUCGGAUGUGAAAUCCCCAGGCUUAACCUGGGAACUGCAUCCGAUACUGGAUGGCUUGAAUCCGGGAGAGGGAUGCAGAAUUCCAGGUGUAGCGGUGAAAUGCGUAGAUAUCUGGAGGAAUACCGGUGGCGAAGGCGGCAUCCUGGACCGGCAUUGACGCUGAUGAGCGAAAGCCAGGGGAGCAAACGGG
rnacentral:rRNA from 1 species